rnacentral:rRNA from 1 species
GUGGAUUAGAUACCCUGGUAGUCCACGCCGUAAACGGUGUAUACUAGGUGUUAGUGGUUUAACCACUAGUGCCGAAGCUAACGCAUUAAGUAUACCGCCUGGGGAGUACGCCCGCAAGGGUGAAACUCAAAGAAAUUGACGGGGGCCCGCACAAGCGGUGGAGCAUGUGGUUUAAUUCGAUGAUACGCGAAAAACCUUACCUGGGCUUGAACUGUGCUUGAUCGGUGUAGAGAUACACCUUCCUUCGGGCAGGUACAGAGGUGCUGCACGGCCGUCGCCAACU